rnacentral:rRNA from 1 species
CCUACGGGUGGCAGCAGUGGGGAAUAUUGCACAAUGGGGGAAACCCUGAUGCAGCGACGCCGCGUGAGUGAAGAAGUAUCUCGGUAUGUAAAGCUCUAUCAGCAGGGAAGAAAAUGACGGUACCUGACUAAGACGCCCCGGCUAACUACGUGCCAGCAGCCGCGGUAAUACGUAGGGGGCAAGCGUUAUCCGGAUUUACUGGGUGUAAAGGGAGCGUAGACGGCAGCACAAGUCUGGAGUGAAAGGCCGGGGCUUAACCCCGGGACUGCUUUGGAAACUGUGGAGCUAGAGUGCAGGAGGGGUAAGUGGAAUUCCUAGUGUAGCGGUGAAAUGCGUAGAUAUUAGGAGGAACACCAGUGGCGAAGGCGGCUUACUGGACUGUAACUGACGUUGAGGCUCGAAAGCGUGGGGAGCAAACAGGAUUAGAUACCCGAGUAGUC